CAGUAGCCGCGAGAAUACAGAGGGUGCGAGCGUUAAUCGGAUUUACUGGGCGUAAAGCGUGCGUAGGCGGCUUCUUAAGUCGGAUGUGAAAUCCCUGAGCUUAACUUAGGAAUUGCAUUCGAUACUGGGAAGCUAGAGUAUGGGAGAGGAUGGUAGAAUUCCAGGUGUAGCGGUGAAAUGCGUAGAGAUCUGGAGGAAUACCGAUGGCGAAGGCAGCCAUCUGGCCUAAUACUGACGCUGAGGUACGAAAGCAUGGGGAGCAAACAGGAUUAGAUACCCCUGUAGUCCCUGUCUCUUAUAC
rnacentral:rRNA from 1 species